GACCUGCUACGGAUUGAUAGGGGGGACGGUUUUCUGCUCCUGAUUUCCAGCGAUCCUUUCGUUAUUUUAAAACGUUUUGAAAAUCAAAAUUGUUCACGACAUAUCCAUCAAACCCUAGCCUCUCUUUUCCUCUCAAAAAUCGUCCUGAAUCCUCCUCAAAUCUGCUCUGAAGUUCAAACCGAAAUAGGUUCCGCUUCCUUCCAGAGAUAGAAGACUCGUGUAUCUACAAAUCCCAAUUUUUGUUUCGUCAAACGCCGUUUGGAGGUCGAAAUCAGUUCCGUUUGUUUUCCGUGAAAGUUGACUCACGCAUCUACGUUUCUACACUUUUCGUUUUUCAAACGGUACGUAAACGAACUCGUAUUAAUCGCUGCCGUCUCACCGUACUUAUUUUGUUCAUAACUGAGCUGUUUUGUAAAUUGCUACUGCCGAUUGUUAUAGAUUGCCUAAAUGUGUUUUCUGCUAUGUUUGUGAUUGUUAUUACGUGUGUUAAUGAUUUUUCAAAUCGUUCAAAUAAUUAUUAGCUCGUCGUUUUGAUUUCUCGACGAUUGAAUCUUGGGUUCGUUCAUGGUUCAUAGUUACGUUAAUUGUUCGUUGAAUUCGGUUUCUCUUGUGAUCGGCUUGACUCUUUAUUCUUGCUUAAGGUUUUGUUUUAGUUGGCUUGUUCAUGAUUCAAAGUGGCUAUAGUUAAAGAAUGGUUGAAUUUGGAAAGCUUUAUAAUUCAUUAAACUGAGUUUUGGUUU